rnacentral:misc_RNA from 1 species
AACGCACGAGACCUGCGGACCUGCGGAAGGAUCAUCAUUGAAAACAUCAUUUGCCAAGGGGCUUCUUGUUUUGUUUUUGGGAGAGGGGAGGAGGGGGUGUAGAAACUCUGCAUUUCUCUCUGAGCCUUGACCUGGAUGGGGGCCUCUUGGACAAACAACCAAUCUACGUGACUAGUAACAUACACACACAGUGAUUUGGCUGGGGGGAGCUAACAAAAGUUCUUGUCUGACAAGUAGCUU